UACGUAGGGUGCAAGCGUUAAUCGGAAUUACUGGGCGUAAAGCGUGCGCAGGCGGUUCCGCAAGUCAGAUGUGAAAUCCCCGGGCUUAACCUGGGAACUGCAUUUGAAACUAUGGAGCUAGAGUGUGUCAGAGGGGGGUAGAAUUCCACGUGUAGCAGUGAAAUGCGUAGAGAUGUGGAGGAAUACCGAUGGCGAAGGCAGCCCCCUGGGAUAACACUGACGCUCAUGCACGAAAGCGUGGGGGAGCAAAACAGG
rnacentral:rRNA from 1 species